rnacentral:lncRNA from 1 species
UCUCACGAUGCCCUUGCUCUGGCUCUGGACAAAUUCGAUCUUUUAACGCAGGUUUGUUUUUGUUGAAACUAGUUCUUGCAUCUAACUUGUCUCUUGGUUUGCAGAAACCAAAGCAGUCCCUAAUUCUGUACAACUUGUUGGAUCUAUUGCAGUCGCCCUCUUCCCAAGCAGCUACAAUUCAUACUGGUAUAUAUCUCUUUUCGCAAAGAAACUCUUUUUCCUGCCAAUCAACUCAAGUGAGAUCUCGCUUUCGUAAGACAUGAUCCUUUUGCUUCC